AAACAUUUCUAUAAAGUAACCAGCGCAGUGUUCCAACACCAGAAGCAGCAUAUGGAGGAAACAUAUAGACAAAGCUUUUAACGGUAAAGUGAGGUGCAACAGACCUUUGUUUAAUCGAAGCACGCUUCACUGGGAAUUUUAACCAAUCAUGAACAAGCGGAGUAAGCUCAAUACACAGCCAUGGAUAUAAUGUUUCUCUGAAUAGUGAUCGAGAUUGUUUAUUAUUCUGCUAUGCAAUAUCACGUCAAGGAUAGUGUAAUCAAAAUAACUUCACAACUCAGAAUAAACGACAAUUUCCCACCAAUGAAGAGCUGACAUUCGAGCCCGAAUCAUGACACUUUCGUUGAAAUUUAGGCAUCAACGAGGUAGUUAUGAAUAAAUUGCACUCGCUUCCAAUAAAAGAGAACUGGCUGCAAGAUACUAUCAAGAAACUAUAUAAACGUGUCGCUUAAUCAUCCUUUUGCGAACUUCAAUAAAGUUGAGGAUAAAAAAAAAUACGCAAUGACGUUGGUUAUUGUUUUA